AGCAGGGCUGCCGCUUGAGGUGGGUAUGAGCACAGAGCUGCUUGAGUUUGGGAUUUCAAAUUUGUUCUGGUGCAUAGGGUAUUAGGUUUUGGACUUUGGAGCCAUUCUAGCUAGGAACUUGAACUCCAGGUGAGUUUCUUCUUCUUACUGGUUAAGUAUAACUUCUCUUCUCUGUUCAGUGCAGAUGAAGUUCCUUUUUUUGAACGAGUCUUCUUAAUGAUUUGUCCUAUGGGUAAUUCUUAAUGAUUUGUCCUAUGGGUAAUCUUAAGCCUGUAACUUUAUCUAGAGUUGCUAAAAGGCACUGGCAUUCUUUGAUAAAAGGUUUCUAAACUUUCAGGUAUUUCUGUUUUGGCUGUCAAAAGCCUCCAUAAUUAAUAUAUUUUCUUCUACUUAUGUGUCUAGCUAUCUCUUCUCUUCACAGCUUCUCUUUUGCAUCUUGAUAUUGAUGCAUUGAAAAGUUAAAUUUACAGAACCUUCAAUAUCGUUGAUUUCCACUUAAGGAUUGGAGCUUCUAUCUGCAGCUAGAAUGAGGAUUGGCACAAAACUACUUCAGAGACUACAAUUGCUUGUUGCCACGCAGUAAGUCUGUCAUUGCAACUUUGAUUCUAAUAAAUUUUCGUUAUUCCUUACUUUCGAAAGGUUCUUUUUUCCUUCUAUGGAAAAAUACCACUGUAUAAACAGAGAUCCACCAAUUGCUUAUUUUUCAUUGUUAGGUUUCAGUGUUUUUCACUAUAUAGUCUAUAGAUUAGUGAUCACACUUUCAGGUGGAAGGCAGACAGAACGCUUAGAUUGUUGCUGUGGUUCAUACUUUAUGAGCUUGGAAUACGAAA
rnacentral:lncRNA from 1 species